rnacentral:rRNA from 1 species
UUAAAGGAAGUUGACGGGGGCCCGCACAAGCGGUGGAGCAUGUGGUUAAUUCGAAGCAACGCGAAGAACCUUACCAGGUCUUGACAUCCCGAUGCUAUUUCUAGAGAUAGAAAGUUACUUCGGUACAUCGGUGACAGGUGGUGCAUGGUUGUCGUCAGCUCGUGUCGUGAGAUGUUGGGUUAAGUCCCGCAACGAGCGCAACCCCUAUUGUUAGUUGCCAUCAUUCAGUUGGGCACUCUAGCGAGACUGCCGGUAAUAAACCGGAGGAAGGUGGGGAUGACGUCAAAUCAUCAUGCCCCUUAUGACCUGGGCUACACACGUGCUACAAUGGUUGGUACAACGAGUUGCGAGUCGGUGACGGCGAGCUAAUCUCUUAAAGCCAACCUCAGUUCGGAUUGUAGGCUGCAACUCGCCUACAUGAAGUCGGAAUCGCUAGUAAUCGCGGAUCAGCACGCCGCGGUGAAUACGUUCCCGGGCCUU